ACAGAGUUGGUUGUUGCAUCGGCUNCAUCGGCGUCAGCUCGUCGUCCGUCGAGAUGUUGGGUUAAGUCCCGCUAACGAGCGCAACCCCUUAUGGAUAGUUACUACGCAAGAGAGACUCUAUUCAUCAUCUGCCGUUGUAGCACAAACGUGAGGAAGGUGGGGAUGAGCGUCAAAUCAUCAUGUCCCUUUAUGACCUUGGGCUACACACGUACUACAAUUGGCGUUCAAGCAAAGUAGAAGCGAAGCCGCGAGGCAGAGCAAAACUCAAAAACAACAGUCCCAGUCUCAGAUUGCAGUGCUGCAACUCGCCUGCAUGAAGUCGGAAUUGCUAGUAAUCGCAAUCAGCAUGCUGCGGUGAAUACGUACCCGGGUCUUGUACACACCUGACG
rnacentral:rRNA from 1 species